rnacentral:rRNA from 1 species
GGAGGAGCUUGCGUCACAUUAGUUAGUUGGUGGGGUAAAGGCCUACCAAGACUAUGAUGUGUAGCCGGGCUGAGAGGUUGAACGGCCACAUUGGGACUGAGACACGGCCCAAACUCCUACGGGAGGCAGCAGUAGGGAAUUUUCGGCAAUGGAGGAAACUCUGACCGAGCAACGCCGCGUGAACGAUGAAGUAUUUCGGUACGUAAAGUUCUUUUAUUAGGGAAGAAUAAAUGAUGGAAAAAUCAUUCUGACGGUACCUAAUGAAUAAGCCCCGGCUAACUAUGUGCCAGCAGCCGCGGUAAUACAUAGGGGGCAAGCGUUAUCCGGAAUUAUUGGGCGUAAAGGGUGCGUAGGCGGUUAAAUAAGYUUAUGGUCUAAGUGCAAUGCUCAACAUUGUGAUGCUAUAAAAACUGUUUAGCUAGAGUAAGAUAGAGGCAAGUGGAAUUCCAUGUGUAGUGGUAAAAUGCGUAAAUAUAUGGAGGAACACCAGUAGCGAAGGCGGCUUGCUGGGUCUUUACUGACGCUGAGGCACGAAAGCGUGGGGAGCAAACAGGAUUAGAUACCCUGGUAGUCCACGCCGUAAACGAUGAGUACWAAACGUUGGGUAAAACCAGUGUUGAAGUUAACACAUUAAGUACUCCGCCUGAGUAGUACGUACGCAAGUAUGAAACUUAAAGGAAUUGACGGGACUCCGCACAAGCGGUGGAUCAUGUUGUUUAAUUCGAAGGUACCCGAAAAACCUCACCAGGUCUUGACAUGCUUCUGCAAAGCUGUAGAAACACAGUGGAGGUUAUCAGUUGCACAGGUGGUGCAUGGUUGUCGUCAGCUCGUGUCGUGAGAUGUUGGGUUAAGUCCCGCAACGAGCGCAACCCUUAUUGUUAGUUACCAGCACGUAAUGGUGGGGACUUUAGCAAGACUGCCAGUGAUAAAUUGGAGGAAGGUGGGGACGACGUCAAAUCAUCAUGCCCCUUAUGACCUGGGCUACAAACGUGAUACAAUGGCUGUUACAAAGGGUAGCUGAAGCGCAAGUUUUUGGCGAAUCUCAAAAAAACAGUCUCAGUUCGGAUUGAAGUCUGCAACUC